rnacentral:rRNA from 1 species
ACGGAAGGCAGCAGUGGGGAAUAUUGCACAAUGGGGGAAACCCUGAUGCAGCGACGCCGCGUGAGCGAAGAAGUAUUUCGGUAUGUAAAGCUCUAUCAGCAGGGAAGAAAAUGACGGUACCUGACUAAGAAGCCCCGGCUAACUACGUGCCAGCAGCCGCGGUAAUACGUAGGGGGCAAGCGUUAUCCGGAUUUACUGGGUGUAAAGGGAGCGUAGACGGCAAGGUAAGUCUGAAGUGAAAUGCCGGGGCUCAACCCCGGAACUGCUUUGGAAACUAUCUCGCUCGAAUACCGGAGGGGUAAGCGGAAUUCCUAGUGUAGCGGUGAAAUGCGUAGAUAUUAGGAGGAACACCAGUGGCGAAGGCGGCUUACUGGACGGUAACUGACGUUGAGGCUCGAAAGCGUGGGGAGCAAACAGGAUUAGAUACCCUGGUA